rnacentral:rRNA from 1 species
AUUGAACGCUGGCGGCAUGCCUUACACAUGCAAGUCGAACGGCAGCACGGGAGCUUGCUCCUGGUGGCGAGUGGCGAACGGGUGAGUAAUAUAUCGGAACGUACCCUAGAGUGGGGGAUAACGCAGCGAAAGUUGCGCUAAUACCGCAUACGAUCUACGGAUGAAAGAGGGGGGAUCGCAAGACCUCAUGCUCAUGGAGCGGCCGAUAUCUGAUUAGCUAGUUGGUGGGGUAAAGGCCUACCAAGGCUUCGAUCAGUAGCUGGUCUGAGAGGACGACCAGCCACACUGGAACUGAGACACGGUCCAGACUCCUACGGGAGGCAGCAGUGGGGAAUUUUGGACAAUGGGCGAAAGCCUGAUCCAGCAAUGCCGCGUGAGUGAAGAAGGCCUUCGGGUUGUAAAGCUCUUUUGUCAGGGAAGAAACGGUGGACUCUAAUACAGAUCACUAAUGACGGUACCUGAAGAAUAAGCACCGGCUAACUACGUG